AUGUUUCUAAUCAAAGAAAAAGGAAAUUCUGGAAGAAAGCCUAAGGACAUUAAUCUAGAAAAAAUCCUAACGAUCCCAUUAAACAAAAGGUCUACCAUUAGGUCACUUGCUUGGCAACUGGGGUGUAGCCCUACCUCACUUCAUAGAAAGUUCAUGUUAAACUUGAUAAGGAGGCAUACAAACUGCGUGAAGCCAGCUCUAAAGGACCAGAAUAAGAAGGAUAGGAUGAAAUUUUGUUUGUCGAUGCUUGAUGAGGCAACAACAGCAACACCAAGGCCUAAGUUCAAGACUAUGCAUAAUGUUGUCCAUAUUGACGAGAAGUGGUUCAACAUGACCAAGAAGAAUAGAACCUAUUAUCUGCUGGACGGGGAGGAAGAGCCUACAAGGCCUAUACAUGGAAACUGUAUUGGAAAGGUGAUGUUCUUGACGGCCGUUGCUAGGCCGAGGUGGGACAGUGAAGGAAACGUGACCUUCUCUGGGAAAAUCGAUAUCUGGCCAUUCAUGAAAGAAGUUCCUGCUCAAAGGAGAAGCGACAACAGGCCCAGAGGUACAAUAGAGACAAAAUCAAUAAAGAUCGACAGAAAAGUGAUGAGGGAGUUCCUGAUAGAGAAGGUCUUGCCAGCAAUACAAGCUGUUUGGCCUGAAGGCGAUGCUGGACAAACCAUCUACAUUCAGCAGGAUAAU
rnacentral:rRNA from 1 species